ACGGGGUGCAGCAGGCGCGAAACCUCUGCAAUGCGCGAAAGCGCGACAGGGCCACCCCGAGUGCUAGGCGCUGAGUCUAGCUUUUCCUUAGUGUAGUGAGCUAGGGGAAUAAGCGGGGGGCAAGCCUGGUGUCAGCCGCCGCGGUAAUACCAGCUCCGCGAGUGGUCGGGACGAUUAUUGGGCCUAAAGCGUUCGUAGCCGGCCUAUCAAGUCUCUGGUUAAAUUUCAAGGCUUAACCUUGAGCGUGCUGGAGAUACUGUUAGGCUAGGGGGCGGGAGAGGUUGAGGGUACUUCACGGGUAGGGGCGAAAUCCUAUAAUCCGUGAAGGACCACCAGUGGCGAAGGCGCUCAACUGGAACGCGCCCGACGGUGAGGGACGAAAGCCAGGGGAGCAAAGGGGAUUAGAUACCCCCGUAGUCCUGGCUGUAAACGAUGCGGGCUAGGUGUUGGGUUGGCUUCGUGCCAACCCGGUGCCGCAGCGAAGGCGAUAAGCCCGCCGCCUGGGAAGUACGGCUGCAAGGCUGAAACUUAAAGGAAUUGGCGGGGGAGCAC
rnacentral:rRNA from 1 species